UUCUGGGAGGAUUGACAAAUUGAGAGCUCUUUCUUGAUUCGGUGGAUGGUGGUGCUUCUCCGUUCUUAGUUGGUGCAGCAAUUUGUCUGGUUAAUUCCGAUAACGAACGAGACUCGAGUCUAGUCUAUUAAAUAGGGGCGUGGUUCUCUGCACCUUGCACCCUUCUCAGAGGGACAAGCGGCUCCUAGCCGCACGAAACAGAGCAAUAACAGGUCUGUGAUGUCCUUAGAU
rnacentral:rRNA from 1 species